rnacentral:pre_miRNA from 1 species
AUCACCUGGGGAUCUUGCCAAAAUGCAGAUUCUGGCUCAGUAGCCCAGGGUGAGGCCCGAGAUUCUGUAUUUCUAACAAGCUCGCAAGUGAGACUAA